GUAACCUAAAGCACUAAAAUGAAAUGGUAAUUCAAAAGCUGCAGCACACGUGCACCCAGUCCUCCUCAGCUUCAGCAAUCAGCAAGUGGUCUAUGACCGAGGAAACAGAGGUGCAAGGGCGCAUCCCCUCCAUUUUCCUCAAGUAGUUUUUUAAAAUGCGGGCAGUCAUUAAGCAUGUGGGUACCAAUCUCAUAACAAUAAACACACUCAAG